rnacentral:ncRNA from 1 species
AAGCAACGCUGGAGAGUGAGGGGCCUUAGGGUCUCUCCACCGAAGGGGAAAACUGCGAUUAGCGGCCAAUCUCUCAGGUUCCACGACAGCGCGGG